rnacentral:tRNA from 1 species
GUUUUAAUAAUUUAAUAAAAAUAUUGAUUUUGUAAAUCAAAAAUGAAAUAAUCUUAAAACU